rnacentral:rRNA from 1 species
GGGUUGUGAGGUUAAGCGACUAAGCGUACACGGUGGAUGCCCUGGCAGUCAGAGGCGAUGAAGGGCGUGCUAAUCUGCGAUAAGCGCCGGUAAGGUGAUAUGAACCGUUAUAACCGGCGAUACCCGAAUGGGGAAACCCAGUGUGACUCGUCACACUAUCAUUAACUGAAUCCAUAGGUUAAUGAGGCGAACCGGGGGAACUGAAACAUCUAAGUACCCCGAGGAAAAGAAAUCAACCGAGAUUCCCCCAGUAGCGGCGAGCGAACGGGGAGGAGC